CUGUCCGUGGAGCUCCCUACUGUGUCGCUUUCUCCUUGUCGUGGAGCUCCUGCUGGUGAGCCCCGUGGCCCCAGGGCGCGGCCACGUUGCUCCCCCAGCCGCACCUUGUUGUUCCCUAUGCCGGCCAAGCCAAGGCCACGGUCGGUUAUGCACCACCGGCCCAUGCCUGUGUGCGUGCGUGGGUGUGUUUCGUGGGAGAGAGAAGAGAGAGAAGGAGAGGGGGGCUAUGGGGAAGAUUCAAGGACCCAAGUGCAAGAGGAAAAAAUGAUCUAAGGGUCUAGAUGUGAAAUGACUUUGGUUUUCUUUUGUUUCCUAGAUUUAAAUAGAUGAAACUUUGGAAAUGCAUAGAAAUGUGUAGAAAAAUGAUAAAAAUGCCAAACUUAUUUUUUAGGUUCCUGUUGAUAUCUGGUUUAUUUCAAAAUUGAGUAUGUGCAUGCUACUAUUGUAUAUUUUGUUCUAUAAUUUAUUAUGUUCUAGUAAUGUUAAAUGCCUUAUAAAUCAUGUGAUGCUCCAAAAUUGUGAAAUCAAUUUUGUUAGCUUCCAUUUAUCAUGUGUGCUCCAGAUCUGCAACUUUUAUUAGUGGAAGCUAUGGCUUUCAUGCUGUUUUAAAUCUAAUGCUUGUUUACUGUCUUAAUUUUGUUAUUUGCAUGAUAAUUAUACUGAAAAUGAUAAAAUGUUGAAACCACUUCUUUUAGUCUUGUUUU
rnacentral:lncRNA from 1 species